UAGUCCACGCUGUAAACGAUGAGUGCUAAAAGUGGGCUUUUGUCUGCUUUACAGCUAACGCGUUAAGCACUCCGCCUGGGGACUACGGUCGCAAGACUAAAACUCAAAGGAAUUGACGGGGACUCGCACAAGCGGUGGAGUAUGUGGUUUAAUUCGAUGCAACGCGAAGAACCUUACCUACUCUUGACAUCCAGAGAAGCCAGCGGAGACGCAGGUGUGCCUUCGGGAGCUCUGAGACAGGUGCUGCAUGGCUGUCGUCAGCUCGUGUUGUGAAAUGUUGGGUUAAGUCCCGCAACGAGCGCAACCCUUAUCAUUAAGUUGGGGACUCUAGCAAGACUGCCGGCGUAAGCCGCGAGGAAGGUGGGGACGACGUCAAAUCAUCAUGGCCUUUAUGCCUAGGGCGACACACGUGCUACAAUGGUGCAUACAGAGGGUAGCGAAGCUGCGAAGUGGAGCCAAUCUCAGAAAGUGCAUCCCAGUUCGGAUUG
rnacentral:rRNA from 1 species